UUGAAAUAGCCUCACAUAGUCUCAACUGACCUCAGACUUCUGUGUAGCUGAGGAUGACUUUGGACUUCUUUGUGUGCACUGUAUGUGUCCACCCAUGUCUGGAGGCCAGAGCUGGUGCAGCAGGCAUUUCACCAACUGCAAAUGUCCCCAGCCUGCCCUUGAACGUGAUAUCCUCCUGCCUCAACCUCCCAAGUGAUGAGAUUAUAGGCAUGAGCUACAACAGCCAGUUCCUGAAGUGCUGGGGAUUGGACUCAGGGUCUCCGGGACACUAAGUUCUAGGUGUGUCCUGGCCUUUCCUUCCUGAAGGUCCAUUCCAUGUGAAGGUAGCAUUUGCUAAGCAAAGUACGUCUGAGCUGCUCCUACAGAUGUUCUCUCUAUCUCUCUUUCAGUUCCCAGAAGCCAGUCAACCCUACUCCUACCUUCCUGUGUCUGCUUCUGGCUUCACAGACUCACUGGACAGUGAGGGUUGUUUUCUCACCUGAUGGCAUCUCAGCUUCUUUACCUAUUGUGGCCCAAACCAAAGCCUGAAUCCAUACUUCUUACUUGGAGAAACUGAUGAUUUCAAUUUUCUCUUGUUAAUGUUGUGAAACAGCGUGUGAGAGACCUUGGUGGGUUUGGACCAAGGUGCCCCACAGCGAGAGACACAUGCCAUUUGUGCUCAGUGGACGGCAGUGUGUCGUGGUGGAAAGUUACUCACAUGGCAGACGUGACAUCCGCAUG